GUUUUAUGAAAAUGAAAAUUUUUUAAAUUGAUAAUUUAUAACAAAUCGGAUAUGAAUAUAAUAAAUGAACCGUAAAAUUUCAAAAAUAAUUUCACACGAUUUUUUCUUUAGCGAGGACUAAAACCAAGAUAUAAUUACCGACUGGUAAAGUCGGAAAGUCAAAUGGGCGUGAUCGAUCGAAGCACGUCGCGCGCAUCUCGCAAAUGAAAGCUCGCUCACCAAUGAGGGGCGUGUCAUUCAUAGUGCCGACAAAAUGGCCUAAUCGAUAUAAUGCACUAGACACUUGUCUUGUCGACAUUCGGUUCGUUGAAAUAGCAGGUGUAAAAUCGUAAUAUAAUUGAUUCGAUUGUA